rnacentral:sRNA from 1 species
UUGGAGGGCAAGUCUGGUGCCAGCAGCCGCGGUAAUUCCAGCUCCAAUAGCGUAUAUUAAAGUUGUUGCAGUUAAAAAGCUCGUAGUUGAAUUUCGGGAUCGAUGGGUCGGUCAUGCCCUCGGUAUGUACUGGUCUCAUUGGUUCUCACCUUCUAAGGAACCAUGAUGUCAUUCGGUUGAUGUUGUGGGGAAUUAGGACUGUUACCUUGAAAAAAUUAGAGUGUUUAAAGCAGGCCAACGCUUGAAUACAUUAGCAUGGAAUAAUGAAAUAGGACAUCCGAUUCUAUUUUGUUGGUUUCUAGGAUCGAUGUAAUGAUUAAUAGGGAUAGUUGGG